rnacentral:misc_RNA from 1 species
AUAGAUUUUGGUGGAAUGGACUUUGGAGCUGUUUAUGGUAUGCGACGAUCAUUCAGUGAAGGGGACAUAAAGACUCUGGGCAAUGGCAACAUAAAUGUGAUCCAUUCUCCACGGGGUCAACCACAGAUUAUCGGAACUUCCACUUCUGAUGUUCGCAAGGAACAGCUCUCCAGAUACCGGAACAAGAAGAACAAGAGGAAUUUUGGCAGAAAAAUCAAGUAUGCUUGCAGGAAGGCGUUGGCUGAUAGUCAACCAAGGAUCCGUGGAAGGUUUGCAAAAACAGAAGAAAUGGAUAUAUCGAAGAAGCAUUAACUGUUAACAGUGGAAGAGAAAUAUAUAGUAAGGUAGUAAUGGGACUGCUGAUAUUAGCUUUAGAAUAGGAUCUGCUCAAAUAAGCUGGGGGUCCAUCCAACAUGUUGCAAGUUUGUUAAAUCUUUGGGUAGUGGCAAUAAUCUUUGUAGAUUAGACAAACCAACUAGUCUUGUAUAUAGUGUUUGUUAA